rnacentral:misc_RNA from 1 species
GAUGAAGAACGCAGCGAAAUGCGAUACUUGGUGUGAAUUGCAGAAUCCCGUGAACCAUCGAGUCUUUGAACGCAAGUUGCGCCCGAAGCCAUUUGGUUGAGGGCACGUCUGCUUGGGCGUCACAUAUCGUUGCCCGAUGCGUAUUGCACUGUGAUAGGAAAUUCUAGGGCGAAAGAUGGCUUCCCGUGAGCGUUGUUGCCUCGCGGUUGGUUGAAAAUCGAGUCCUUGGUAGGGUGUGCCAUGAUAGAUGGUGGUCGAGUUUGCACGAGACCGAUCAUGUGUGCGCUCCCCAAAAUAUGGACUCUUUGACCCCACACGCGUCUUUUGACGCUCAUGACGAGACCUCAGGUCAGGCGGGGCUACCCGCUGAGUUUAAGCAUAUCAAUAAGCGGAGGA